rnacentral:rRNA from 1 species
GAUGAACGCUGGCGGCGUGCCUAAUACAUGCAAGUCGAGCGAACAGACGAGGCGCUUGCUCCUCUUCCGUUAGCGGCGGACGGGUGAGUACCACGUGGAUAACCUACCUAUAAGACUGGGAUAACUUAGGGAAACCGGAGCUACUACCGGCUAAUAUAUUGAACCGCAUGGUUCACUAGUGAAAGACGGUUUUGCUGUCACUUAUAGAUGGAUCCGCGCCGCAUUAGCUAGUUGGUAAGGUAACGGCUUACCAAGGCAACGAUGCGUAGCCGACCUGAGAGGGUGAUCGGCCACACUGGAACUGAGACACGGUCCAGACUCCUACGGGAGGCAGCAGUAGGGAAUCUUCCGCAAUGGGCGAAAGCCUGACGGAGCAACGCCGCGUGAGUGAUGAAGGUCUUCGGAUCGUAAAACUCUGUUAUUAGGGGAGAACAAAUGUGUAAGUAACUAUGCACGUCUUGACGGUACCUAAACAGAAAGCCACGGCUAACUACGUG